AAUAACACAAUAAGUAGUUCACAUUUUUGUUCUAUUGGCCUGCACAUUGUCAUGGAUGCAGUUUUUUUAUAGGUUGAUUCUUCAUCUUCUUCUUCAUUUUUUGUAGAUUUUUGCUACUUUGAAGACAUCGAUUGGUUAAUUCACUCUCUAUCAAGGUUUGUUAAGGGAACCAGACCAUAUAUGUUCCCUGUUCUGUGUUGGCUAGAACAUCUUGGGGGAGAGGUGAAGAUCCUUGACAAGGAUCUGAUAUUGGUUAAACUUCACUCAUUUCCUCACCUGCAGAAUUUUCUUCUUCAAGCUAUGUCUCUUAACUGUUAUCUCCAUUUUUUUGUUUGCCCCAGGUAUGCAUUAGAUGAUAUUGGUUCUGGAUCUCAUGUGCAUCUCAGUUUGUGUCAGAGUUGAACCCAUAUGAAUAGGU